GAUGAACGCUAGCGGCAGGCUUAAUACAUGCAAGUCGAGGGGUAGCAAGAUUGUAGCAAUACAAUUGUUGACGACCGGCAAACGGGUGCGGAACACGUACACAACCUUCCUACAAGUGGGGAAUAGCCCAGAGAAAUUUGGAUUAAUACCCCGUAACAUAGCGAUGUGGCAUCACAUUGCUAUUAUAGCUUCGGCGCUUGUUGCUGGGUGUGCGGCUGAUUAGAUAGUUGGCGGGGUAACGGCCCACCAAGUCUACGAUCAGUAGCUGAUGUGAGAGCAUGAUCAGCCACACGGGCGCUGAGACACGGGCCCGACUCCUACGGGAGGCAGCAGUAAGGAAUAUUGGACAAUGGACGCAAGUCUGAUCCAGCCAUGCCGCGUGAAGGAUUAAGGUCCUCUGGAUUGUAAACUUCUUUUAUAAGGGACGAAAAAAGGUCUUUCUAGAUCGUCUGACGGUACCUUAUGAAUAAGCACCGGCUAACUCCGUGCCAGCCGCCGCUGUAAAAC
rnacentral:rRNA from 1 species